ensembl:lncRNA
AUGCCUGUGGGACCCCCAGUCCAGCCAAGUGGAGAGGAGGACACCAUUAAAACAGACGCAAGUCUCAUUUUGGAGGCCUGUGGGCAGGAUUCCAGCCCAGACAAGGCCCAGAGUUCGAAUGUGUGUACAAAACCCCGAGCCCACCUGCCGGCCCAGGAGGGGGCCUGGACCCCCACAGAGGGCAGUGGGGCCACCUGGACGCCCUGGGCCUCUGCGCAGCCCAGCCUGGGGUGGGCAGUGAUGCUCCUGGGGUUUCCCCCAGGUCCAGACGGCGGAGCUGGAGCAGGCCCACAGCCAGCAGCUCCAGGAGCUGGUCGCCCAGCACCAGCGACUCCAGGCUGCCAAGACCGAGCGCCUGCACGGGGCCCGACCACAGGCUGCACAGGCCCCAGUAUCCCGAGAGAGGGCCCAGCAGCAGCAGGUGAAGGCCUGGCCCCUCGGGGUCGCAUGUCUGGAUCGAAGCUCCCAGCGCAGAGGAGGCGCUCAGUGGGUGCCCACAGAUGAAAGAGGAACAGAGCCAGAUGCAGGAGGGGUCGGAGAGACAUCCCAGCACUGACCUGCGAGCCACCUGCGCUUGGACCAACGUUCUCCUGGGGAUUUCCGGACCCUCCUUGCCUGGCUGCUCCCGGGAGACCUUACAUGCCUGGGACCCUCUAGGAUUUGUCAUAUUUCAGUGAAAUUUCAACCAGUGGAGGAGACACUAUUUUUACUUGUUCAACAUAAAGCUGUAUAUUUAGGUUAAAGGAUUUUUCUAAUGGAAGUAAACUGUUUUCUUAAACAUCUCCAGUGCUGAGCACGUAGCUUCUGUGUGAAAGUCUGAUGGUCACCGUGCCCUGUGCAGAUGGCCAUGUGCCCGGGACCCAGGCCCUCCUCCGCUCCAUGCACCAGCUGCCCCAGCCAGCCUCUCAGUGUCGUGACCACACCCGGCGGGCUCCCCAGGAGUGGGACCCCACCUGCCCUCCAGGCUCUGUGACCUGCUGACCUCAUUCUUGGAGCAGGAAAGGGUCUCCCUGGUGUGUCACCUGUGUGGGAGCCCCAUGGCUCUGGGGAGAAGGAGAGAGAGUUGGGGAUGCAGCCAGCCAGCUGCUGCCACUAACAGCCCUGCUGGAGCCCCUGCCCCCGCCCUGCAGGGACCAGCCUGCCUGGCCAGGUUCCAGAGGGGGAACACGCCCCACCUUGGCUGGCAUGGGGUCCUGGGGUGUCCCAAGUCCAGCUUGGGGCUCCCCAUCUAAAUUGCACACACACUCAGGCCCUAAAUUAAAGUGUCACAGGCCUAUUGGGGAAGCUNNNNNNNNNNNNNNNNNNNNNNNNNNNNNNNNNNNNNNNNNNNNNNNNNNNNNNNNNNNNNNNNNNNNNNNNNNNNNNNNNNNNNNNNNNNNNNNNNNNCUAAAUUAAAGUGUCACAGGCCUAUUGGGGAAGCUCAAGUUUCCCCAUCGCAAAACACGAGCCUGCUUGAUAAAACGAUUUUGGUUUUGAUAAAUGUGGACUUUCUGUGGCAAAGACAAAGGCACCCUUGAGUCCAGAGGGGAACCUGAAACAGCACAUUGCUAAAAAGUAUUUCCUGAUAAUAUUUUUAGCACCUGGAAAAAAGAAUUUUUUUUUUCUCUUUUGCGCCUGUGGAGUGUGUGUGUGUGUGACUGUGUUUGAAAUGUAAUGCCCAGCGUAGUGGAGCCUCCUGUUAACUCCAAGUCUCCCAAAAGGGAAGGCGCAUGGCCCAGGGUGAGGGCCCUGGAGGGUCAGCAGGCCUGUGCCUGGGAAGUACAGCCUUGCGGGGUUCUGCCUGCCACUGGCCCCACCCAGACCAAGCGCGCCAGCUCUCCGGGGGGCCCAGGCCCGGGCAUCUCACAGACUGCGAGAGGACUCCCUCGGGAGGCGGGUUGAGGCCGUGUCUGGGCCAGCCGUUCCCACUGAGCCUGGAGAAACAGUCCUUUCUGGGCACGUCUGCUGAGCACCACGGUGGGCACCCCGCUGCCAUAGGCGCCCAGGUCAACCCAAAACUUAGCCCCGAAGUGAGCCUUUGCUAGGGUCCCCGGCACCCCAACCAGAGCAGGAAGUGCAGCAGGGGGAGGGGCUCCCCCUGCACCCCCUGCAGGAGGCGGGCAGGUCCAGCAGGGGUCCAAGGUCAGCCUGGAAGGCCGACCCCCACCGGCCGCCUCCCUGUCAGGGUGGGGCCCCCGGCUCUCCCCACUGAGGAAACAAACAGGAGCAGGCUUCUGCUGGGCUCCCCGCCGGGCUCCGAGCCCACCACACAGCUGGCAGACGCUGCCCAGUUCCCACCGAAAGCCACACAUGGAAAAGCACGUCCUCCUGGGCUCCCACCACGGGGACCAGUCUUCUGGCCCCUCUGCCCUCCGGUGACCCCGUGGGGGUCGUGUCCUGCCCCCUCCCUGCCUUUGCCAGUGAGGCUCAGGAGCAACCUUCCUGUCCCAGGAGGGCAAGGCUGCCACACCCCUCUUCUGACCUUGGCCGUGACCUCUGUGCUGCUGGCCUCCGGGCUUCCCCCACCUCCCCACUCUGCAGCUGAGCCAGCGGGGCUCCAGGGAGGGGUUCAUGGAAAUGCCUGUGUGUGCCAGGGUGAGUGUGUGUGUGUGCCAGGGUGUGGGUGUGUGUAUGUGUGUGUGCACCAGUGUGUGUGUGUGCGUGCGCACGCACUGGAGUAUGUGACUGUGUGUGUGUAUGCUGGUAUGUGUGUGUGGACAUGUGUGUGGGGUGUGUGUGUAGGGUGUGUGUGUAUAUGGGUGUCUGUGCUGGGAUGCAUGAGUGCGUGUACGUGUGUAUGUGGAUGUGUGUGCUGACG